CCUACGGGUGGCUGCAGUCGAGAAUCAUUCACAAUGGGGGAAACCCUGAUGGUGUGACGCCGCGUGGAGGAAUGAAGGUCUUCGGAUUGUAAACCCCUGUCAUGUGGGAGCAAAUUAAAAAGAUAGUACCACAAGAGGAAGAGACGUCUAACUCUGUGCCAGCAGCCGCGGUAAUACAGAGGUCUUAAGAGUUGUUCGGAAUCACUGGGCGUAAAGCCUGCGUAGGCGGUUGCGUAAGUCGUAUGUGAAAGGAGCGGGCUCAACCCGCGAACUGCACAUGAUACUGCGAGACUAGAGUAAUGGAGAGGGAAGUGGAAUGCUUGGUGUAGCAGUG
rnacentral:rRNA from 1 species